AGCUUUGUGCAGUGGCAGUACUGUAGCCAUUGAGGUUUAUCUGAAGCUUGAUUAUUACUAAUUGAAAACUGUAUGCUUUUAAGACUUCUGGUAGCUGUAGACAGGUAAUAGAACAUUCAGGGACUGUCUAUUCUCCUGGUGGAAGAGAA
ensembl:snRNA U4 U4 spliceosomal RNA